UUAUAAUCAGGCCUGAGGUCUCACUGGAUAUUCCCUAGCUGAAGAUGCACAACGCAUAGCUGCUGAUAGUCUUCAGAUCUUAACGUACAGAGGUGGUGCUGAAGCACACAGCUGGAGAAGAUGGCUGACUUUCAGCACUUGACCCGUUCGCAACACGGGUCUCAUUGGGAUUAUGUCACCACUGGCAGGUGGAGUUGGCUUUUGCAAAGCUAAUCCAGAUCCCCAGCUCUGCUAUUAAAUGAAAGCAAAUCUGAAUAUUAUGCAUCUUGACAAUGGACUCUUACAUGGUGAAACAGCGUUUAGCAUUAUUAAAAUAUUUUUGGCAUCAAGAGGAAGAGAACUGGAGGG